CAUUUUUCUUCCUAAAAUACUGGUCCUUCCGUAUAACAAUAACCUCGUAUGUGAUUGGAGGACCCUUAGACUCCUCGUCCAAUCACGUGUGAGGUCAUAGGCAUGACUCAGACAGCAGUACCUGCAAGACGAGCAUACAAACAAACACGUGUGUUACUAUAUUCAGAAGAACUGUAUCUCCAGUUCCUUUGUUUGGUUUUUGCUGCUUCGUGAAUAAUGGCUGGACGACGUCUCGCGUUCAACUCGCCUUCAACUCCUCUCCGCGGUCACCAACUUUCGGCCAGUCCGCAGACAGACGAGAAGAAGCUGCUGAAAGCUCUCAGUGGAUCGUCUCGUCAACUCCAACAACAAACUGCCGAUAUCAACGAGCGGUUCGCUCCACUGGAGCGUUCGGGACUCUCCGGGUUUCUGUCCAUGGAGGAGAGGAACCGACUCAAAGAAGAGGAGACGGGCGCACAAUCCCAAGAUAGCGGAAGCGGUGCGCCGUCUUCACAACUCCGAGACGAAUCACAGGCGCUACGAACCGGAGCAAGGACUAAUCUCGCCUCAUAAUGAGGCGGUGACCUCGUAUUUGCUCCGGGAAAAGUCCAGAUUUAGACGACGUCAUUGUGUCCGCCUGUGAGACGUAUUUUGAGACGGGACGCAGGAGCUUCAGGUUUUCCAGCCGGACACUCAUUGCGGGCGGAAGCUGCGAAGGAUUCAGCGCAGAGUCGAGCGAGAAGAAAGAGGCUGCUGGAAUCGAGACAAAGUGUCCUGGCUGAUGACGAGGUGGAACUCUGGAAAUCCGCCACCGUAGAGCUCACGUCGGACGGAGAGGAUGGCGUUGUUGGCGGGGUCUCGGGGUGGAUUGUACGGUCGCCACACACACGAGGCGCCUGCAUAACUGACCUGCCUCGGAAAACACGGCGCCAGUGACAGUCUACAACCCCGAGGAGGCAAACGGACAGUUUACUGAGCUGUAGUUUUUAAACCGCCGUUACCCAAGUGUGGGCAGAUCCUCACUUUGUAUGUAGUUGUUGUUUGUGUGUUGUUAAUAAAGCUCUUUCUUUGCA
ensembl:lncRNA